UGCGCGUUCCUGCCAGAGCGGGCCGUGGCCCAGUUGGUGCCCGGUGCUGGCCGGUGCAUGUGAACGUUUCUAGAUGAAGGCCAGUUUUAUGACUAGUGGCACUCUUGAUUUCAGAAUAUUUCAUUUUCUAAUGCCAAUGGUGAAUUUGGGCUCAAGUAUCUUCCUACUCCUCACAGCUUCCUACUCCUCACAGCUUCAUUCUGUAAUGUAAUACCACUGCACAGUACACCUCUCUGUUGUGCAGCUGUCCUUACCUGCUCCCAUGCCAGGCCCAUUGCAGCAGGGAGAC